rnacentral:lncRNA from 1 species
GUCCAUUUAUAUAAAAAGUGUAAUUUAUUCACUAUAUAGUUACGAGUUUUUUGAGUACCAUAGAUAUUCAUGAAGUUUCCUACCCUAGAAGACUUGGAGCCAGUAGUGGAAAGCAGAGCUUCUGGUCCUGAAUUAAUGGACAGCGCUAAUCGAGCUUGUUGGAUAUAGGUGUGACGUGAGUGAACUUGUGACAGUCUCUUGACUCUCUCUGUGUAAGUGACCUUGGAAAUUUAUGAUAUAUCUAUUUCACUCAUUCAUUUCCAGGAGCAGUAAAGGGGUACACUUGGAUAAGGUUUCAAAACCAUUUCCUUCCAAAUUUGACGGCCACUCUAAUGGCAAAGUGGACCAUUUUCAGGAAAGCAAAACCAAGGACCUCUUUCUCUUGCUCAGAGACAGCCACAGCAACCGUUGGUCUCGUUCAACUUACGCUUUCUACUUGUGCCACCUUCUGUGUAAACACACAUCCUAGCACUCUGUCUCCUAGGAGCACUGUCUCUUGUCUCCGGAGUCCCAGCAGAGGAUGAGCAGAGCUUGUCCUUGCAUUCUUGCAUCAACAUCCUGCUUCGUGUCCUCACCCCUCGAGUCCUUUGUCACCAGAGGGUGGGUGGGAAAGAGCUACAUUUGCUUUUGGAAGGUCUCACUCCUGCUGUCAUGUAUUAGUGACUUCUUUCAAAUGCCAUCACCUAACAGUCAGUGACAAGGCCAGCUUCUCUUCCACAGAAGUCUCACCUGG